UCCGCCAGUGUCCGCCAUGUUGGUCGGCCAACAACCAUCAGCGAAAUUCUGCAUCUUCUUCGCGCUACAGAAGACCCAUAUAUUCAGAAAAUAUGUUUGAAAUCGAGUAUAGUGACCUUCUAUUUGAGAUAAGUUCGAAAAUUGGCGUAAACCAAUUAGAAAGAUUGGUUUUUAUGUGUAGAAAGCAGAUCACAAAAGGCAGUGAAAGAACGAUUCAAAAUGCACUCGAAUUAUUUGAAAAACUUGAGAAAUGGGAUAAACUCGGAAUCAACUGGUUAGAAACUUUAAAAAAAGAUUUUAAAACAGUUAGAGAAUUGAUCCAUGUUCAAGAAGGUGGAAGAGUUUGAGAACAAGAGAAAAGGGUGUUUACCAUGGAAUAGAAAAUUUUAUAAGUUCAGGUUAUUGCUGAGGGAGCAAAUGGGCUGACUGCACCGGAGGCUAAGAAAGUUCUGAUUGAAAAUAAGAACUCAUUAUUCUAGUAAGUUUACAAUAAAAUGGUGAGUGCAAUCUGAAUUAAAUUGCUAUAUGAAGUUCUUGUAUUUGUUUAUCAUAAUUAAUUUUUGCACUCGAUAAAUUGCUUGAGUUUAAAUGGAUGGUGUGACAGUAUUCUAUUUUGAGUGGCUGAAGAACAUCAAUCAUGUCAGUUUUGGACGUUUGACUAGGAAAUACGAGAAGCAGGCAAAUUUUCAUCUUUUAGGUAGUGUCUUAGAAAGCCUGAAUAAUCAUUCCAAAGAAGUCAUUCCUAUAAAACCGUUGGCUGAGUUCCUGCAAAAGAUUGUUGGUGGAAAAUGUUUACCUUUUCGUUUUCAUUACAUUGAAGAAAAAAGUUUGUAACCUUAUUGUGAUACCCAAGGGCGCAAAUGAAAAAGACAUUGUUCAUACUGGAUUGGAGUACACCAUGGAACAAUCAGCUAAGGUACAUCUUCUCCGUGACGGAUUCCAAGUUUCUUCUCAAAAUUAUGUCCGAUUUUUGUCCUUAACUUGGUUGCUGGGCUGUCGACAUAUCACUAGCAUUCCCGGGAAAGACAAAUAACUGGAAAACAAAGUCCACUUUUGGUCCGCUUUGGCAUUUAUUUCUCUUCUACAAAUUUUUAGCUCAAAUAUGUAGUAUUUUGCUUUGCGAGAGUUUGUGAGACUUCCUAAAGGUUGAUUUUUUUGGGGAAAAGAGGUUAUCCUCUCAGUUGUCCUCCCAUUUUUCUUUACAGGUAUCUAAACAUAGAAUCUGGUAUGACCUAUUGUGAAUGAGAAAAGACUGUCCCCAAAAGAAAACAAUGACCGGGAAACAUCUUCUGAAAGAGUUUAUGAACAGUGUUUCUAGAAGAGUGAUGGGUUCGACUCUUGAUUGCGUAUUUUUCACAGUCUUUUUAUCAAUAAAAAGUGAACUUCGUUUUUUCUUUUCCCAUUCAGAAAAUUAUUUACUGUGCCAGUGAGCACGACCUCGGUCUAGACAUUAGGACGGCUGCUUACAUUAUGUCCAUGGAAAAAGUCUAUGUAGCGUAUAGCGUCGGAAUAAACUUUAUUGACAGGAGUAACGAAAAAGUCAAUAAAGGUUUAUUUUUACACACAAAAUGUCUACUUCCGUGAAACAUGAAAAC